rnacentral:rRNA from 1 species
AUGAAGCAAACAAAGCAUGUCUCUCUAUUGCCAAAUGUCAAGUGCCAACCUGUCCUCUAUUUGUACAAUACAGUGGAAUGGCAGCCUCUUGUGGCAAGUUCAGUGUCACCUGUUUCCCCAAUUCCGGUAUGUUGCUCCCUCUGUAGCCACACUUCUUCCACAAGUUGCUCGACGCGGUCUGUUGCUCCCUCUGUAGCCUACCGCUUCCUCCGUAUUGAGGAGUCUGGGGCCAACCUGUUGGCAGAUUUGGGUUCAGACAGAGUUCCUCCAUCCAGAGAAACGUGUCUUGGUAUUUUUGCGAAGCUAAUGGCUCCUGCAUCUGACCACAAAUUCCAAUGUCAUUCAGGUUUUUCCUCUCAACAUGUGGACCUAAACUUGGAAGAAUUCAUGAUUCAAGGUGUAUCAUGGCUGCUCUGGACGAUAUAG